CCAUCUCACUGAUCUCUGGUCAGGAUUUUAACAUGAACCUGGGCUUCAAAAUACUCUGAAGACGUGAUGAGACCCUGACUUUAAAUCUUGCCAAGUCUCCCCCACCCACCGUUGUUUCUGCCUUCCGACACUGUAUCACAGAGUACCUGUGGUUCUGGGAGAUCCGUUCCUUGUUAGCAUUUAUUCCCCGAGCAUUUCAAUGGCGCAUAUGUUUAUCUGAAUUCUCAUCUGAUCGUGAGUGUCUUGGGGCACCGUCCUCAUGCCAGCGAAGUGCCUGGCACGUAAUAGACACUUAAUAAAGCUUUAUUGACUGAAAGCACUCCUCGGUGAACAUACUCAGGCAUUGCUUUUUUCCUGUCUUUGGGCUGUUUCCUUAGGAUAAAUUCCCAGAAUAGAGAUUUCUAGGCCAAAGUGACGUUGAACAUGUUUAUGAAUCUUAAUACUUAACGCCAAGGAGUUUUUAUGUCUACUUGCGGUGCUUCCAAGUUUGUGAUUCUCAUCUUGCAGUGAUGCACUAUUGCUAGGUUAGCAGUCUGCUGUUCCAUAUUUUCUCAAGGAAAAAGUGACAGUGGGUCUGUCGUCGCCAAAUUCCAGUCUGGAAUGAGCGUUGCAUAUGCUUUAGAAUAAAGCCAUCUAUAAAAUGUAAAUUCCUCUUGGAGAACUUGAGACAGAGAGGGAAGUGGUUAGCAAAGGCGAGGUAUCAGAUAAAGGACAUUGUCUUAGGGACCAAACCCCCCUGGGAGUUUUCAUUGCUGCCCUGAACUUUCUUAAACAGACACCAAUAUUUCAAUAAAGCAAUCGCAAAUGUAUUUUUUUUAAUUUGUUUUUCUCCCUCAACACAUUUAAUGUUCAAAUAUGAAAUGUUACUAAAUGCAAAUUGCUGUUAAUGCCCAGUCCAAGGUCUGCUUUCAUCAAAGUUUGGAGCUGUUUGUCUAAUGUAUGAUGCAUUUCUAUCUUCAAUUGAUCUGAUUUGUGUGUGUGAAAUAGGAUUGAGCCCCCCAUGCUGAGACCUUGGGAAACACUUAGCUUCCACCCCCACCACCCCUUGCUGGUUUGAUAUUUUCACUUCCCUCAUCUCUUAGUAUUUGGCAGCCUCAUAAAUUACUCGUGAUAAAUAGUUGUAGCCAUCUUUGGUGCAAGUGUGUUAUUGAGAAACACAGUUCCUCAAAUGACAUAAGGCAUCAGAUAGUGUUGGUGAGAUCUGAACAAAACAGAGCAAGAGAACCAUUGUGUUAAAACUGCGCACUGGAGGCUUAUGAUUAUAAUGGAUUAAAAGGCUCAACAUAUAUUCUGAAGAAUUAUGGCAUAUUGAUUGCCCUAAGUUAACGUAUUCCAUCGUGUGCAGUAGUUUCUGCCAGCUGCAUCAGUCCACUCUCAAGGUUGAGACUUAACAUUUCUGGAGAGAGAGCUAAAUAAAGGAGUUAGCGGGUGCUUGCACACACUUGACUUGGUUGUAGCUUUCAGAUAUUUUUUCCCCUUUUGGAAAAUUCAACCCUGUGGGCCAUAACCUAGUUAAGUAUGUUGAGGAGACUCUAUGAGAAGUCAGAUAGUAACAUGUUAACACAUGCCCACAUGUUGGGUGUCCCACACUGCCAGCUAUCAGGAUUCUGUGAGCUAUGAAAUCAGCGUUUCUGUUUCUGUCCCUCGAGGACCUUAAAGACCCAAGUGGCUGCUAGAGACUCAAAAUGAGGACACCUCUCUGUGGAUUCUGCAUUCUGUUACCCAGACAUGGCUAAGUAUCUCCCUGGUGUGUGUUCCAAGGAAGGGAUUGUGGGACCAGGAACAGAUCCUCCUAAUCUGACCUUCCUAUAACUCAUCUGGGUUAUAAGACUGGGUUAUUUACACACAUAAGGGAGUUGGGGCAGAUGCUAGGCAGUGGGGGCUGUGCUGCCUGGGUGUAAGGACAGUUGGGAAAGGUCUGGGCCCCAAACUGCUUCAUGUUCCACACUCACCCGGUUUUGCUUUUCUGGUCACUGCUUAUCUUGGUGUUGAGCAUAUUCCCCUUGUAUAUCUGGGCUUCAGAACUGCCUCCAUCUUGCUUUUAUUUCUUCUUAUUCUGGGGUUAGGGUUUCUCUGUGUAGCCCAGGCUGUCCUGGAACUUGCUCCUUACACCAGGCUGGCCUGAACUCAAGAGAUCCACCUGCCUCUGCCUCCUGAGUUCUGGGAUUAAAAGUGUUUGCCUCUACCAUCCAGCUACUUUUUUUUCUUCCUGUCUUGUCUUUUCUUUUCUUUUCUUUUUUUCUUUUCUUCCUUCCUUUCUUUCUAAUGGUAGCCAUUAUUGAGUGUAAAAAUCAUUCAAGAUUCUUAAUUUUCAUAUUAACGUGUUUUCUUUCUUUUUCUUUUUCUGGUUUAUUUAUUUAUUUAUUUAUUUAUGUAUUUUUUUGGAGACAGGGUUUCUCUGUGUAGCCCUGGCUGUCCUGGAACUCACUCUGUAGACCAGGCUGGCCUUGAACUCAGAAAUCCGCCUGCCUCUGCUUCCCAAGUGCUGGGAUUAAAGGCAUGUGCCACCACUGCCUGGUUACGUUUUCUUUUUUAGCUCAAGGAGACUUUUGAGUACAUUUUCUAAGAAGGAUUGUGGAAUCUUAAAUAUUACCCAGUCACACACCAUUACUGUUUUGAGAUAGUUAGGACUAAUUCUCUUUGAUUAAA
rnacentral:lncRNA from 1 species